UACAGGUUAUAUAUGUUUUGUUCAUCUUAUUCUUAUGUAUAUUUCUUUUAUAAUGCCAUUACACUUACAUUUGGUUAUUUAUUAAUAUAUUAGACUAUCCUAUUUUCAUGAGAUUUGUUGUGGGAACACAUGAAUAGUUGAAUGGCUAAUGAUUUAUUUGUCAUUUAUGGGUCAAAGGUAUGUCAUGAGAUGCAAAUGAAUGACCAAUUUAGUGGUUUUUCUAAUUUUCAUGGACCAGGCAUAAAAGUUGUAUGAAAGAUCAAGAAUGAAGAGUGAAGGUUUUGUUUAAAGGGAUGUUAUGCAAACGAUUUGGGUAGCUCUAUUGUGCGUUCGGUUGUUCAGCCUCAUGCUAACUUAAGGCCACCAAUGCCAGAGAUUGUAUCUAUGUUAUAACAUGGAAGGUGGAAAUGGUCAAAAUGAAUGAGAAAGGAUCUUGGGAAGCCAUCUCUGAUUAUUUCCCUUCUCCACUCGAAACUGAAUCACCCAACUUGACUCAACCUCCAAACUCUUGCAGCAAGGAAAGAGGGAAUGAAAGCAUGGCAGUUAAAAAACACUAAUUGAUUGCAAGGUACCGAUCCGUGUGUUAAUACAAGUAGGCAUUGUUCCACGUUAUCCCAUGCGUUGAUUUGCUUUUUCUAGACGAACAUUUCAAGUAAAUAGUAUGUGUAUGUGAAGAAAGUUUUAAUUUCAAAAUGUUUC
rnacentral:lncRNA from 1 species